rnacentral:rRNA from 1 species
UGGGGGAUAUUGCGCAAUGGGGGGAACCCUGACGCAGCAACGCCGCGUGAAGGAAGAAGGUUUUCGGAUUGUAAACUUCUGUUCUUGGUGAAGAAAGAAAUGACGGUAGCCAAGGAGAAAGCUCCGGCUAACUACGUGCCAGCAGCCGCGGUAAUACGUAGGGAGCAAGCGUUGUCCGGAAUUACUGGGUGUAAAGGGUGCGUAGGCGGCUAAACAAGUCAGACGUGAAAUAUAUAGGCUUAACCUGUAGACUGCGUUUGAAACUGUAUAGCUUGAGUGGAGUAGAGGCAGAUGGAAUUUCCAGUGUAGCGGUGAAAUGCGUAGAUAUUGGAAGGAACACCAGUGGCGAAGGCGAUCUGCUGGGCUCUAACUGACGCUGAGGCACGAAAGCGUGGGUAGCAAACAGG